rnacentral:lncRNA from 1 species
AAAAGAACGAAGAGAGAUGACCGAGAAAGAAAGGAGAGAGAUAAGAGGAAUAUGGGCAACUGAACAGUUUACUAAAAAUUCAGAUUGAAUCUAUAAAAAUUAAAACAAUAACUUAUUUUUAUAAAAAUGCAAAAUCUAGUGAAUUUUUUAUGUAAACUAUAUUUUUAAGUAGAAAAAUGAUUAUGAUAAAUGUAUGGAUAUAAAAAUAACUUUGGGUGAUUAAGCUAGCUAGCCAUCAUUAUCCUGCUUUUCCCCACCUUCGCCCUUGCUUAUUCUAUACGGCAUAUGUGCUGUUAUUAUUAAGUAACUUUCGAUAAAGAGCAUAUACUGUUCUAAAGAAGCUUUAUAUAAAGAAGCAUGUGUCAUACAGAAGCUUCCUACAAAGAAAAAGGAGAAAUGAUCAAUCAUUGUUAUUGUGAAGGUACCAAUUACUGCAUACACGCAAAUCAUGCUUCUGUAUGUCCAUGUAUUGUGCAUUAUUUAUACAUAUUUUUUGCAACUUCCACCAUCUUUAAUGCAGCUGGUUUAAUUUCAUUAAAUAAAAAAAUUGCAAAUGAAUACCAAAAGUUUAGAUUAAGAUCCUCCUUUGCUUACGGUCUGUUUGGUUCAACGGAAACUGUGAAAAAUAAUUUUCAAUAGAAAAUUUUUUCCGUGGAAAUAAAAUUUUAUAUUUUUUAUUGUUUGAUUUAUAGAAAAAAAAAAGCAUAGUUUCCAGCCAUGUUUGUUUCAUUGAAAGAAAAAAUUUAAAUGAAAAAUAUUUUUAUAUAAUUUUUUAUUAUAUAUUAUAUGAGUAUUAUUUAUAUAACUAACGACCAUAUAUAUUAUUAUAUAUAUUACAAUUAAAUUUAUAUCUAUAUUUUAUAACCAUCAUCAUCAUCAUCAUCUAUAUUUAUAAUUUAAAUAUAUUCAAAAUUAAACUAUGUAUUCAAAAUUAUGUUAUAUAAUAUAUAUAUUAUAUAACAAAUUAUAUAUAAAACAUAAUAUAUAAAAAUAUAUAUGUGUAUAUAUAUAUAUAAUAUGAAUUGAGCUCUUAUGCAUUUGAAAGUAUUAAGUCAUUGGUGCUUAUAAAUUUUCGGCCCUUGUAUUAAGGGAUAUGCGGUUAGGAUGAUGUGGGCCCUCUAGGGUUGAGUGGGUGGCUGGUUGAAUAGUAUAAUCUAACGGAUAAAAAUGAUCAAAGGCGUAGAUCUAACAGUAAAAAAUUUACAAGCACCAAGUGCUUGGUGCUGUUACAAGCACCAUAGCCGAACUCACAUAAUAUAACAUAUAUAUAGUAUAUAGAGUGUAGAACUACUAUACUAUUAGAAGCAUAUGUACGUAAGGAGUGGGUGCUUCUGACUUUUUGACCCUUGAAAUAAGAAUUGUAGGUUAGGAUAAUGUUAGUGGUUUCUUAGGAUAAUAGUAUUAAUUCAAGAAUUAGAAAUGUUCAAAGAGGUUGGUUCAAAAAUUAAAAAAUUAGAAGCACUACGUGAGUGGUGCUUCCGAAAGGAGCAUAGUCAGACUUAUAUAGAUAUAUAUUUAUAAAUAAAAUAUUAUAUUAUGACGCCCCAACUUCUCAGGGAGUCAUUUAUCGUAGGACUACUUUCGUCAUAACACGCUUAACUCUCUUAAUCUAUUAGGUCUAGCCAAUGCCCAAAAUGCUUAUGCCGGAUUAAGAAUUUUAGUUCUAUUAUAUCUUAUAUAUAUAUAUAUAGAACUAUUCGGGAUCUCACAUAUAUAAUAGUAUAUUAAUAUAAUAAA